AUAGUUUCAAGAACCCCCCACUUCAGAAGUAGUCGUUUUUCUCUCUUUCUCCGCUUCUCUGGUGUAAUACUUCAGAAGCUCACUCUAAAGCCCAUAAAGACUGAUUUUUUCUCUCUCCAAUUGGAGAAACCAAUCAACAUAUAGUUCAAAUUUCUCCAUUUUAGGUUUUAGUUUGCAUGAUGGAUGCUCCUAUUAUUGACCCAUUGCAGGGGGUUUUCCCUGAAAUUAUAGAGGAGUAUUUGGAGAGUGGGAUCAUGAAGUGCAUAGCCUUUAAUCGUCGUGGCACCCUUCUUGCAGCUGGAUGUGCUGAUGGAACUUGCAUUAUCUGGGAUUUUGGGACCAGAGGCAUUGCAAGAGAAUUCAAGGACGAUGAUUCUGUUGCCUCUAUUACGAGUGUUUGUUGGUCAAAGUAUGGUCACCGCAUACUUGUCUCCGCUGCUGAUAAGUCCUUGUCACUCUGGGAUGUUGUCAGAGGAGAGAAGAUUACUCGGAUCACUCUACAGCAAACCCCUUUACAAGCUCGCCUAUAUCCUAGGUCCACUACUCCAUCUAUUUGCUUGGUGUGCCCCCUUUCAUCUGCUCCUAUGAUUGUUGACUUGGAGACAGGAAGCGUGACUGUGCUCCCUGUCUUGCCUACUGAAGGAGGGAAUGGGGUUGCUCCUCCUUCAAAAAAUAAAUUUUCAGAUGGAUCUUCCCCAUUUACUCCUACUUCUGCUUGCUUUAACAAGUACGGAGAUCUGGUGUAUGUGGGGAACUCCAAAGGGGAAAUACUAAUAGUUGACCACAGAAGUGUUCAAGUGCGUGGUAUAGUUCUUGUUCCAGGCAAUGCUGUUAUAAAGAAUAUCGUGUUUAGCAGAAAUGGACAGUAUCUCUUAAUAAAUUCAACUGAUCGUACAAUAAGGAUUUAUGAGAACCUUCUUCCGGUAAAAAAUGCUCUUACGGGUCUAGAUGAAGCAACCAAUGACCUGAAUGAUCUGGAAGGGGUCGAGAAGCUGAAGGCUGUUGGAGCGCUAUGUUUAACUUUGUUUCGGGAGUUUCAGGAUUCUGUCACCCGAGUGCACUGGAAAGCUCCAUGUUUUAGUGGUGAUGGUGAGUGGGUUGUUGGUGGUUCUGCUAACAAAGGGGAGCACAAGAUCUACAUUUGGGAUCGGGCCGGUCAUCUUGUGAAAAUUCUUGAAGGGCCUAAGGAAGCGAUAGUAGAUCUAGCUUGGCAUCCUGUCAACCCUGUUGUAGUCUCUGUUUCUCUGUCUGGGUUAGUCUAUAUAUGGGCAAAAGACUUCACCGAGAAUUGGAGUGCAUUUGCUCCCGAUUUCAAAGAACUUGAAGAAAAUGAGGAGUAUGUUGAAAGGGAAGAUGAAUUUGAUCUCAAUCCGGAAAUUGAGAAGGUUAAAGGGUCUGAUGUCAACGAGGAUGACGAUGUUGAUAUAGAUGGUCUGGAGAAUGAUUCAACUUUCAGUGAUUCAGAUUUGUCGGGAGAUGAAAUUUGCUUUUUGCCUGCUGAUCCAAUUCCUGAUCCAGAGCAACAGGACAAGUGUGUUGGUAGUAGUUCAAAGCUAGGUGAGAGCAACCAAUCUGGGUCUCCUCUUUCAGAAGAGGCUGGACAAAAUGGGCAAGUGAAUCAUGAGUCCAGUCCAUUUGAAGGCGAGGACACAGGCACAACAGGCUUGAAAAGGAGAAGAAAGCCUUCAGAGAAGGUAUUGGAACAGCAAGCUGAGAAGGUUAAGAAACCCCCACUGAAGACGAAGCCAUCUGGCUAAUAUUUGACUUAGGCGAAGCAUAUAAAGAGAUUGCUUCACGAGAGGUCACGUUAAUUUACAACAGUAAGCUGUGAAUUAAGUGUAAACAAGCUAGUGAUUCCAUCUAUAAGUGGGUUAUGGAGCACAUUUGAUGCUACCUACUUCUGAAGUUGUCUGGACUUGCACCAAUGGACAGAUUUUUUUCUAGCAGCGUGGUAGCAAUCAAUCCAGACUCUUAGAGGGACUACUAACUGUUAACAUGAACUGAUAUUAGAACAUUGCAUUAUAUUUAUCCCCUGCUGACGGAAACAACUGUUAAAGGGACAGCAUCUAAACUCUGAAGAACUGGAUUGCUUUCAGUUGUAGAGUUUGUUGGCUACUUGUAUAUACGACAUGUAAUGGGAAAGCUGAACUGCAAGGUUAGGUGGUGAGGGGGAUUUCACCCUUGGCAUUGGCUGGGAGGGAAAUGCACCGAGUCUCUAUUUCUCCCUGAUCCGAUGGAGUAGUAAACAUAAACCCCAAGAGCCAUAAUCACCAUCACAGCAGCUCCAGCAUUGACAAGCAGUUGUCUCUCUUCAUUUAGUUCCACAAGGCUUU